rnacentral:rRNA from 1 species
UAGCCGUAAACGAUACUCGCUAGGCGUCGGCCACGGUGCGACCGUUGUCGGUGCCGUAGGGAAGCCGUGAAGCGAGCCACCUGGGAAGUACGGCCGCAAGGCUGAAACUUAAAGGAAUUGGCGGGGGAGCACAACAACGGGUGGAGCUUGCGGUUUAAUUGGAUUCAACGCCGGAAAUCUUACCGGGACCGACAGCAACAUGAAGGCCAAGCUGAAGACUUUGCCGGAUUAGCUGAGAGGAGGUGCAUGGCGUCAGUGACU